GACUAACGCUGACGGUGUGCCUAAUACAUGCAAGUCGAACGGGCAGUGUAUCGGUGGCAACACUUUUAUACUGCUAGUGGCGAACGGGUGAGUAACACGUGGGUAAUCUGCCUUAAAGACUGGGAUAACUCCUCGAAAGAGGUGCUAAUACCGGAUGGUCUAUAUUAAUCUCAUGAUUUUUAUAGUAAAGGUAGCCGCAAGGCCUCUGCUUUAAGAUGAGCUCGCGUCCUAUUAGCUUGUUGGUGGGGUAAUGGCCUACCAAGGCAAUGAUGGGUAACCGGUCUGAGAGGAUGGUCGGUCACACUGGGACUGAGACACUGCCCAGACUCCUACGGGAGGCUGCAGUCGAGAAUCUUUCGCAAUGGACGCAAGUCUGACGAAGCGACGCCGCGUGGACGAUGAAGGCCUUCGGGUCGUAAAGUCCUGUCACGAGGGAAGAAAUGUAUAUAGGCUAAUAUCUUUUAUACUUGACGGUACCUCGAGAGGAAGCUCCGGCUAACUCCGUGCCAGCAGCCGCGGUAAUACGGAGGGAGCAAGCGUUGUUCGGAUUUACUGGGCGUAAAGGGCGUCUAGGCGGUAUGGAAAGUUGGAUGUGAAAUCCCUCGGCUCAACCGAGGAACUGCAUUCAAAACUCUCAAACUAGAGUAUGGCAGAAGUGAAUGGAAUUCUGAGUGUAGCGGUGGAAUGCGUAGAUAUUCAGAAGAACACCAGUGGCGAAGGCGGUUCACUAGGCCAAUACUGACGCUGAAGCGCGAAAGCCAGGGGAGCGAACGGGAUUAGAUACCCCGGUAGUCCUGGCCGUAAACGAUGUGUACUGGGUGUAGGAGG
rnacentral:rRNA from 1 species